UUGCAGCCGAAUGGUUAGAAAACAACUGACUUGCUUGUUCUGCAAAAUGCAAGAAAUUGAUAACACCUGAACUUGAUACGAUUCAAUUAAGGUAGUUAGCAGUAUGGAUUUUUAUGACAUGCACAAAAACAAUGAAGACGAAUAUGGGAUACAGUAAAAUAUAUAAAUUUAUUAUUUAAAAAGUUAACAAGACUAUUCGGCUUCUAGACAUCCAUGUAAUAAUUAAAAAGGAACGGAAAUGUUGACAAAAAUAUAUGUGACAGGACUUGACGUCACGGGACUGCCGUGUCGUGCGUCGUGGUGGGGAGCCACCAUAUGAUUCUUUCCAAUCAAACUCUUAUGGUCAAGGGACGAUAUCAAAAUCCAUAAGCUGCUCAAGAUCAUGCGCGCAAUUGCGCAAUAAGAUUUUUCAAUAAACCAGAGCCAAGGGCAGAUAUUCGCCACUUUUUCCCGUUACCGCCCAAACUACCCACCAUACAGUAUGAAUCUUUAAAUGGAAAUAAAUUCAGGAAAUUA